GAUGAACGCUGGCGGCGUGCCUAAUACAUGCAAGUCGAGCGAACAGACGAGGAGCUUGCUCCUUCGACGUUAGCGGCGGACGGGUGAGUAACACGUAGGUAACCUCCCUAUAAGACUGGGAUAACUUCGGGAAACCGGAGCUAAUACCGGAUAAUAUUUCGAACCGCAUGGUUCGAUAGUGAAAGAUGGCUUUGCUAUCACUUAUAGAUGGACCUGCGCCGUAUUAGCUAGUUGGUAAGGUAACGGCUUACCACGGCAACGAUACGUAGCCGACCUGAGAGGGGGAUCGGCCACACUGGAACUGAGACACGGUCCAGACUCCUACGGGAGGCAGCAGUAGGGAAUCUUCCGCAAUGGGCGAAAGCCUGACGGAGCAACGCCGCGCGAGUGAUGAAGGUCUUCGGAUCGUAAAACUCUGUUAUUAGGGAAGAACAAACGUGUAAGUAACUGUGCACGUCUUGACGGUACCUAAUCAGAAAGCAACGGCUAACUACGUG
rnacentral:rRNA from 1 species